GGGUGUUCACUUCAGCAGCCUAUAUUGUAAAAUUAGAACAAUAUAGAGAAGAUUAGCAUGGCCCCUGCAUAGGAAUAACAUGCAAAUUCAUAAAGCGUUGCAUAUUUUU